rnacentral:lncRNA from 1 species
UCGCAUCUGCAUUCCGGAUCUGCAAUGAUGAUGGUGAAAGAGGAGGAGGUUGGAGAGGAAAAGGCGAAAAACGGUAGAGAAUGAAGGAGAGAAGUAAUGAUGAUGACAUCGACAAUGACGGUGUCACGAAAAAAAAGAUGAGAGACGAGGAAGAGAGAAAAAGAGAAUGGAGAGGUAUUUUAGUCAUAUUUUUAAAAUCUAGUAUGAAUCUGCAAAAUUGCAAAAGAUAGUCCGAUAAGAUUGUAGAAAACCUAUGCCCAUCCAAAUAAAUAGUGCAGAAUAAUUCCACUAUUUAAUGCCCAGACUUCCGGCCAUGAGCCCCGUUGUUGUUGUUGCCAUUGAGGCCAUGUGUUGCUAGGUUUUCGACCUUGUGGUAGCCUCCACCUUCGAGUUUCACAUAGAGACGUGUCUCGGCUUCCUCAACCUUCGCUCCACAGUUGGCAGGAGGAACUCCUCCGAGAUCAUCACUCUUGCGUCUACAUUCCGGAUCCGUAACGAUGGCAGUGAAGGAGUGGAUGAGGAGGAGGUCGAGAGGAAGGGGCAAAAGGCAAUAAAGAAUGAGGAAGGAGAGGAAGGUAACAAUGAUGAUAUCGUGGGAAAAGAGAUGAGAGAGACAAGAAAGAUAGGAAGAAAAGAGAAUAAAGGGGCAUUAAAUCUGAUCCGAAUUUGUAAAAUUGCAAAAGAUAGUUCGAUAAAAUUAUCGAGAAACUACGCCUAUCCAAAUAGAUAAUAUCAUCGAGAUUAAUUU